rnacentral:tRNA from 1 species
AAGGGAGACCUAAUCCGGGUAUAAGACGAAAAAAGAGUAGUCGAAACCAAGAAUCAAUCCCAAAAGGUCGGAACGAGGUAUGUGGCUUUCAAACUAGGUUCUGGGUUCACACAAGACCUGAAUCAGGAACAAGGGCUAUUAGCUCAGGUGGUUAGAGCGCACCCCUGAUAAGGGUGAGGUCCCUGGUUCGAGUCCAGGAUGGCCCACCUGCACAGGUGGCAAAAACAAAGAAGCGAGGAAUCAGCACCUUAUCUUAUCUAUAUAUAAGAGAGAAUGCUGGCUCUGAGUAAAGAGUCCAGAGGAACCUUGAAAACUGCAUAGAGCUAGGUGAAAAAGCCAAAAAAGAAGACCGCAA